AUCGUCCCUACAACCAUAUCCGACGUAUUGUGUUUAAUACUCAUCAAAACUUGAUAAUCAAAUAAUUCGGAAAAUCGUAUUAUACUAGAUACUAUAAGUUCAUAAUGAUAUCCAUAUCAAAGGCCACAUCAAUAUCAAAGGCUACCGUUACGUAUACAUCGUCCGGAUGAAAUGAACGUGGUAGGAGGAGGGACGAACUGGAAAUUUAUUUUUUAUUUCCCUCACAUAUUGUCGCAAAUUACGGACAACAAAAAAUAAAAACUAAAAGUUACUUAACCCUAACAACUGGGCAAAAUAUGUUCAAUUUUUUCCGCACAACAAAACUCGGGUGAAAUGUAUUUUUCCGAGGCAAAAGUAAAACGCCAUCGUCGUUACACGAUUUCCUUUUUUGAUAAUAUAAAACUUUUUCACAAGACUAGGUUGACAAUGGUAAUUUCACUGGAGAAAGUUAAAAAGAAGUUUCAAUGGUACGCUUUUAGCUUCUUCGAUGCCACCAUAGUAUUGUAAAUGUAUAUAUACAUUAUAAAUAGAUGUAUUGCGAAAGAAUACAUUUAUGGGUAUUAUUCAAUAGAAAAUGUUGCCAGGAUAACCCCAAAUGAUAGAAGAUUCAUAAAAAAAUAUACAUAGACGAAUCCAAAACACGUACUAACAUUUCUAUUGUAGUUUAUUGUAUUCUUACGAUUGAAUAA